GUUCUAUCAGACAGUUGGGCCAUUUUCAACUCAAGGCAUCUGAGUUCCUCCUCAUCAAGGCAAAUAUGGAGGGCAGGCAGAGAAGUUUUCUUGUAUCUGCAUCUGCUUCUGAUACGGACAGGGGACAGGGAAAAUACUGGUUAGAAGAGGGUGGAUCCCUGGCAAAGACCUCACCUUCAAGCCUGAAGACCUGCGGCCCUAAAUGAGGACAGGCAUUCCUGUUUUCAAGACAAAGAGGUUGCCUUUUGUCCCUCCACACCCUCUAUCCUGCCCCCACGUAAACCGCAAACCCCAAGCUCCACAGCAGAGCAGCAGGUGAGUAGAGGAGGAUACCAGCAGAUGGACGGUGGAACAGCACAGCAGGGAAAGAGAGAAGAGGAGAGACGUCUGGAUGCCAAGAGGAGUUCAGCUGGGGGCGGUAGGAAAGGAGUCCAGCCGCUGGGCGGCCUGACUCCAGGGGAAGAUCACCUUCCCAUUCCAUCCACCCACCGUCUGGCUCUCCA
rnacentral:lncRNA from 1 species